rnacentral:rRNA from 1 species
GAUGAACGCUGGCGGCGUGCCUAAUACAUGCAAGUCGAGCGAACAGACGAGGAGCUUGCUCCUCUGACGUUAGCGGCGGACGGGUGAGUAACACGUGGAUAACCUACCUAUAAGACUGGGAUAACUUCGGGAAACCGGAGCUAAUACCGGAUAAUAUAUUGAACCGCAUGGUUCAAUAGUGAAAGACGGUUUUGCUGUCACUUAUAGAUGGAUCCGCGCCGCAUUAGCUAGUUGGUAAGGUAACGGCUUACCAAGGCGACGAUGCGUAGCCGACCUGAGAGGGUGAUCGGCCACACUGGAACUGAGACACGGUCCAGACUCCUACGGGAGGCAGCAGUAGGGAAUCUUGCGCAAUGGGCGAGAGCCUGACGGAGCAACGCCGCGUGAGUGAUGAAGGUCUUCGGAUCGUAAAACUCUGUUAUUAGGGAAGAACAAAUGUGUAAGUAACUAUGCACGUCUUGACGGUACCUAAUCAGAAAGCCACGGCUAACUACGUG